AGAGUUUGAUCAUGGCUCAGAUUGAACGCUGGCGGCAGGCCUAACACAUGCAAGUCGAGCGGUAGCACAAGAGAGCUUGCUCUCUGGGUGACGAGCGGCGGACGGGUGAGUAAUGUCUGGGGAACUGCCUGAUGGAGGGGGAUAACUACUGGAAACGGUAGCUAAUACCGCAUAACGUCUUCGGACCAAAGUGGGGGACCUUCGGGCCUCACGCCAUCAGAUGUGCCCAGAUGGGAUUAGCUAGUAGGUGGGGUAAUGGCUCACCUAGGCGACGAUCCCUAGCUGGUCUGAGAGGAUGACCAGCCACACUGGAACUGAGACACGGUCCAGACUCCUACGGGAGGCAGCAGUGGGGAAUAUUGCACAAUGGGCGCAAGCCUGAUGCAGCCAUGCCGCGUGUGUGAAGAAGGCCUUCGGGUUGUAAAGCACUUUCAGCGAGGAGGAAGGGUAGUGUGUUAAUAGCACAUUGCAUUGACGUUACUCGCAGAAGAAGCACCGGCUAACUCCGUGCCAGCAGCCGCGGUAAUACGGAGGGUGCAAGCGUUAAUCGGAAUUACUGGGCGUAAAGCGCACGCAGGCGGUUUGUUAAGUCAGAUGUGAAAUCCCCGCGCUUAACGUGGGAACUGCAUUUGAAACUGGCAAGCUAGAGUCUUGUAGAGGGGGGUAGAAUUCCAGGUGUAGCGGUGAAAUGCGUAGAGAUCUGGAGGAAUACCGGUGGCGAAGGCGGCCCCCUGGACAAAGACUGACGCUCAGGUGCGAAAGCGUGGGGAGCAAACAGGAUUAGAUACCCCGGUAGU
rnacentral:rRNA from 1 species